rnacentral:rRNA from 1 species
UGAACGCUGGCGGCAUGCUUUACACAUGCAAGUCGAACGGCAGCGCGGGCUUCGGCCUGGCGGCGAGUGGCGAACGGGUGAGUAACGCAUCGGAACGUGCCCAGUAGUGGGGGAUAGCCCGGCGAAAGCCGGAUUAAUACCGCAUACGACCUGAGGGUGAAAGCGGGGGACCGAAAGGCCUCGCGCUAUUGGAGCGGCCGAUGUCGGACUAGCUAGUUGGUGGGGUAAAGGCUUACCAAGGCGACGAUCCGUAGCUGGUCUGAGAGGACGACCAGCCACACUGGGACUGAGACACGGCCCAGACUCCUACGGGAGGCAGCAGUGGGGAAUUUUGGACAAUGGGGGCAACCCUGAUCCAGCCAUGCCGCGUGCGGGAAGAAGGCCUUCGGGUUGUAAACCGCUUUUGUUCGGGAAGAAAUCCUCUAGGCUAAUACCCCGGGGGGAUGACGGUACCGGAAGAAUAAGCACCGGCUAACUACGUG